UACGAAGGGGGCUAGCGUUGUUCGGAAUUACUGGGCGUAAGGCGCGCGCAGGCGGUCUUCCAAGUCAGUGGUGAAAGCCCGGAGCUCAACUCCGGAACUGCCAUUGAAACUGUUAGACUUGAGGAUGAGAGAGGUGAGUGGAAUUCCCAGUGUAGAGGUGAAAUUCGUAGAUAUUGGGAAGAACACCGGUGGCGAAGGCGGCUCACUGGCUCAUUACUGACGCUCAGGCGCGAUAGCGUGGGGAUCAAACAGG
rnacentral:rRNA from 1 species